UACGUAGGGUGCGAGCGUUAAUCGGAAUUACUGGGCGUAAAGCGUGCGCAGGCGGCGCCACAAGUCAGGCGUGAAAUCCCCGAGCUUAACUUGGGAAUGGCGCUUGAAACUACGGUGCUGGAGUGUGGCAGAGGGAGGUGGAACUCCACGUGUAGCGGUGAAAUGCGUAGAGAUGUGGAGGAACACCGAUGGCGAAGGCAGCCUCCUGGGCCAACACUGACGCUCAUGCACGAAAGCGUGGGGAGCAAACAGG
rnacentral:rRNA from 1 species